rnacentral:rRNA from 1 species
UACGGAGGGGGCGAGCGUUAUUCGGAAUUAUUGGGCGUAAAGGGCGCGUAGGCGGCCUGGCAAGUCAAAGGUGAAAUCCCUCGGCUCAACCGAGGAAUGGCCUUUGAAACUGCCUGGCUAGAGGCCGGGAGGGGGUAGCGGAAUUCCCAGUGUAGCGGUGAAAUGCGUAGAUACUGGGAGGAACACCAGUGGCGAAGGCGGCUACCUGGACCGGUUCUGACGCUGAUGCGCGAAAGCGUGGGGAGCAAACAGGAUUAGAUACCCCCGUAGUCC